UGGUGAUAUGUAUACGGUAGCAUCUUCAUGUAGUGUAGAUUUAAGUUUGUUCAAAUCAUGACUCCCAGGUGAAGGGCAGGGCCCCAACGGUGGAUCAAAAUGGACAGGGGACUACUGUAAAUCACUUUUUCUUCGCGAGAACUUUAUUUUCACAUUAUUACGCGAGACGGUAUGGUCACGAAAAUUUCAUUCUCGCAUAUAAUAUAAUUCCUUAAGAUUAUAUAGAGUAAUGACCACAAUUUUGAAAAUUUUGUCUCGCUAAUGAAGAGUCAUUGACUAUCUCGCGAAAAUAAGGUGUCGUGAAAAUGAAGUGAUUUACAGUAUAUAGGAAACGUCUUCUCAAUAAUACCAAAGCCAUAUAUAGUCAUAUUGAUAUGGAAGCAUCCUUAGGUAGUGUAGAUUCAAAUUUGUCCAAAUCUUGAUUCCAAGGGACAGGGAGGGGCAUCAAUGGGGAUAAAAUUUUAACAAAGGAAUAUAUGGGAAAAAAUUUUAUGUUCAAGAACAGCUAAGACAUUGUUAUUGAUAUGAAAAUGUCUCCAGGUAGUUAUUCAAGCCCCCUUCUCCUCUUCCUAAAUUUUAUACUUUUCAAUACUGGACUAAUUUGUCAUUUACUAGCCAAUAUGCUUAGGUGAGCAUAUUGCCCAUUGGCCACUAGUUUAUUUUAGAAAUCUUCUCACUUGGUAUGAAGUGCAAGUGAUCCCCUUUUGGUGUCUGUUAAUUUUUAUCUUUGGAAUACUUUUAAGGCUGAACAGGAUCCUGAAGUGAGGAGGACUCCCUCUCUCAUUGAACUGCAUACAGCAGCAGAAAGCAGGAUUUCAGUUCCCCUUUGAUUCAGAAGAGGAACAACAAUGGAGGACCAAGGUCAUUAAUAUAAGAAGAGUCUAUUCCUGUCUGUGUUUUGCAGGUAUUAUGUUUCAAAAGUGCAGAAGAAAGUUAAGACUGACUAGGAAUUCUAAGUGAGGAAUAUCAUUCCCUUUCCCAUUCCGCUGCAGCCAUGAGGAGAAUACUCUUAAGAAUCAGACUUUACUUCUUUUUUACCUAUGGAACUUCAUCAUGACCCACUUUAACAGGCAGGAGUCUUACAAUAUUUUCAAGGAAUUUGACAAGGGAAGAGGACCAGUGCUGACCAAGUGAAGAAAAAGAAGAGUCUAUUGCCAAGCUUUGUACAGCAGCCAAUAUCUGAUUAAGGAGUGGGCAGAGUGACGGUUAUGCUGGCAUUGAUCCUGUUUCCAAAAGCAGAUCAACAUGAUUCCUCAAGACUCCAAAGAGAUCAACUAUGGGACCUGAAAAUAAAGGCAAACUGCCAUCAAUUUCAUGUUUCUUUGAUAGCAGACAAAUAUGCUUCAACAAUAGUGCAGAGAGUAAUUUAAGGUUUGGACUGCAAGUGAUGGACACACUACAUAACUCAACUCAAAGAAUUCAAUGGAUAGUGCUGAGUACAAUAUCUACAAAGUGAUGGACACACUAAAUAGCUUAACUUACAAAAUUCAAUGGACCGUACGUGCUGAGUACAUUGUUAUCUACAAAGUGAUGGACACACUAAAUAGCUUAACUCACAGAAUCCAAUGGACAGAGUUGAGUAUGUACUAAUAUCUACAAAGUGAUGGACACGGUAAACAGCUUAAUUCUCAGGAUUCAGUGUACCAUGCUGAGUACAUAACUCAUUAAGGACAACUCAUAUGACAUCCACAGCAGAUUAUUCAAAGUUGUGUUACUACAUUAUUGUACAACUUUUCAUAUACUACGUUAUUUUUUCUGAAUGUUUUUUUUUUGUAUCUGUAUAUUAUAUUUUUUAAUUUAAAAAAGUUAAAGAUUGGAUUUUUAAGCAAAAAUAUCAAGAGAGAGAGGUAAAUCAGUGCUUGUCUGAAUAUCGAAGCUUAAGAGAAAGGGAAGUAAUUUUUUUUAUUGUGAAUCCUUGUCCAGAGCAUAUGCUUUCUCCCCUUGGUCCAAUGUGGCUAAUACUUCUCUCACAGAGUGCCACUGUUCAAUGGAUGUGUAAUGACCUUGAACAAAGUUUCUAGGCCAAGAGUCAAGGUUAAAACCCCUUUCAGCUACUUUACAUUUUUAUGUUCAUUGCUGAAAGUGGGACCCUUUGAGAUGGCCACCAUCUCAAUGAUAUCUAAUUUUAGUUUGAAAAUUGCUAGAAAAGAUAAAGUGAUCUCAUUGUAACAUUAUUAUUUUUUAGUGUUUUAGAUUAUAAAUAAAUAUAACAAUAUGCAAAA